rnacentral:rRNA from 1 species
GUAAGGAAUAUUGGACAAUGGACGCAAGUCUGAUCCAGCCAUGCCGCGUGAAGGAUUAAGGUCCUCUGGAUUGUAAACUUCUUUUAUAAGGGACGAAAAAAGGCUUUUCUAAGUCGUCUGACGGUACCUUAUGAAUAAGCACCGGCUAACUCCGUGCCAGCAGCCGCGGUAAUACGGAGGGUGCAAGCGUUAUCCGGAUUCACUGGGUUUAAAGGGUGCGUAGGCGGGCAGGUAAGUCAGUGGUGAAAUCCUAGAGCUUAACUCUAGAACUGCCAUUGAUACUAUCUGUCUUGAAUAUUGUGGAGGUAAGCGGAAUAUGUCAUGUAGCGGUGAAAUGCUUAGAUAUGACAUAGAACACCUAUUGCGAAGGCAGCUUACUACGCAUAUAUUGACGCUGAGGCACGAAAGCGUGGGGAUCAAACAGGAUUAGAAACCCUUGUAGUCC